rnacentral:rRNA from 1 species
GACGAACGCUGGCGGCGUGCUUAAUACAUGCAAGUCUUAGGGGGCUUUUACCUUCGGGUAAAAGUCACUGGCGCACGGGUGAGUAACACGUAAGUUAUCUGCCCUCGGGUCUGGCAUAACUCCGGGAAACCGGAGCUAAUUCCAGAUGAUAUCGUAAGAUCAAAGAUUUUUCGCCCGAGGAUGAGCUUGCGUCUGAUUAGCUAGUUGGCGGGGUAAUGGCCCACCAAGGCGACGAUCAGUAGCCGGUCUGAGAGGAUGAUCGGCCACAUUGGGACUGAGACACGGCCCAGACUCCUACGGGAGGCAGCAGUGGGGAAUUUUGCGCAAUGGGGGAAACCCUGACGCAGCAAUGCCGCGUGGAGGAUGAAGUCCUUUGGGAUGUAAACUCCUUUCGAUCGGGAAGAUAAUGACGGUACCGGAAGAAGAAGCCCCGGCUAACUCUGUGCCAGCCGCCG